rnacentral:rRNA from 1 species
UACGGGGGGGGCAAGCGUUGUUCGGAAUUACUGGGCGUAAAGGGCUCGUAGGUGGCCAACUAAGUCAGACGUGAAAUCCCUCAGCUUAACUGGGGAACUGCGUCUGAUACUGGAUGGCUUGAGUUUGGGAGAGGGACGCGGAAUUCCAGGUGUAGCGGUGAAAUGCGUAGAUAUCUGGGAGGAACACCGGUGGCGAAGGCGGCAUCCUGGACCAACACUGACACUGAGGAGCGAAAGCCAGGGGAGCAAACAGG